CUGGGCUGUCCCCCAGCAGCCAGUUCCUCCAGGAGACAAAGCAAGAAUUUCUUUCCUGUUUCUCAGGCCCUACCCUAAAGGCGACGAGAGAAAGAAGGCUUGUCUGUCGGCCCUGUCUGAAGUGAAGGUGCAGCCGGGCUGCUACCUGCCCAGCAACCCCGAGGCCAUUGUGCUGGACAUCGACUACAAGUCUGGGACCCCGAUGCAGAGUGCUGCAAAAGCCCCAUAUCUGGCCAAGUUCAAGGUGAAGCGAUGUGGAGUUAGUGAACUUGAAAAAGAAGGUCUGCGGUGCCGCUCAGACUCCGAGGAUGAGUGCAGCACGCAGGAGGCCAACGGCCAGAAGAUUUCCUGGCAGGCAGCCAUCUUCAAAGUGGGAGACGACUGCCGGCAGGACAUGCUGGCCCUGCAGAUCAUCGACCUCUUCAAGAACAUCUUCCAGCUGGUCGGCCUGGACCUCUUUGUUUUUCCCUACCGCGUGGUGGCCACUGCCCCUGGGUGUGGGGUGAUCGAGUGCAUCCCCGACUGCACCUCCCGGGACCAGCUGGGCCGCCAGACAGACUUCGGCAUGUACGACUACUUCACACGCCAGUACGGGGAUGAGUCCACCCUGGCCUUCCAGCAGGCCCGCUACAACUUCAUCCGAAGCAUGGCCGCCUACAGCCUCCUGCUGUUCCUGCUGCAGAUCAAGGACAGACACAACGGCAACAUUAUGCUGGACAAGAAGGGCCAUAUCAUCCACAUCGGUCAGCCAGCCACAGCGCCACCCUCCUCUCCCUUCACCC
rnacentral:sRNA from 1 species